rnacentral:rRNA from 1 species
GUCGAGGGGUAUAGUAGCAAUACUAGAGACCGGCGCACGGGUGCGUAACGCGUAUGCAAUCUACCUUUUACAGAGGGAUAGCCCAGAGAAAUUUGGAUUAAUACCUCAUAGUAUAGCACAAUCGCAUGAUUGAGUUAUUAAAGUCACAACGGUAAAAGAUGAGCAUGCGUCCCAUUAGCUAGUUGGUAAGGUAACGGCUUACCAAGGCGACGAUGGGUAGGGGUCCUGAGAGGGAGAUCCCCCACACUGGUACUGAGACACGGACCAGACUCCUACGGGAGGCAGCAGUGAGGAAUAUUGGACAAUGGGCGCAAGCCUGAUCCAGCCAUGCCGCGUGCAGGAAGACGGUCCUAUGGAUUGUAAACUGCUUUUAUACGGGAAGAAACACCGGUUCGUGAACCGGCUUGACGGUACCGUAAGAAUAAGGAUCGGCUAACUCCGUGCCAGCAGCCGCGGUAAUACGGAGGAUCCAAGCGUUAUCCGGAAUCAUUGGGUUUAAAGGGUCCGUAGGCGGUCUUAUAAGUCAGUGGUGAAAUCUCCCCGCUCAACGGGGAAACGGCCAUUGAUACUGUAAGACUUGAAUUAUUAGGAAGUAACUAGAAUAUGUAGUGUAGCGGUGAAAUGCUUAGAGAUUACAUGGAAUACCAAUUGCGAAGGCAGGUUACUACUAAUGGAUUGACGCUGAUGGACGAAAGCGUGGGUAGCGAACAGGAUUAGAUACCCUGGUAGUCCACGCCGUAAACGAUGGAUACUAGCUGUUGGGCGCAAGUUCAGUGGCUAAGCGAAAGUGAUAAGUAUCCCAYCUGGGGAGUACGUUCGCAAGAAUGAAACUCAAAGGAAUUGACGGGGGCCCGCACAAGCGGUGGAGCAUGUGGUUUAAUUCGAUGAUACGCGAGGAAY